ensembl:lncRNA
UGCAGCGCACCUCACUGUAGGGAUUCCACCCGUGUUCACACACGUCCUUCCACCAGCAAAGCCUCAGUGUCACAUCAAGAGGCACAGACUCCCUGCUGUGCAGACCUCUUGUUAUCAAGAGAUUGUUGAAAAAACACAGCGCAGUUGCAAGGACUUAUCCCUGGAUGUAAAUAUGUUUCAAAUUAAAGCAGAACUAGAAAUGACUGCAACAUAAAGAAAGCUCUGCUGACUGGAAAAUCUGCGGGCAGGUACUGUACGCGAACACGGACGCCAACACCCGAGGGCACGGAGAGAAGCGCUGCUGCCGCGUUCCUGCGGCUCCGAGGCCGCAUCACCGGCACCGAUCCCGAGCUUCAUCGGUGGGGAGGUUUUCCAUUCCUCCUCCGCAGCAAACGGAACCAGCCCAGAGCAGACAGCGGGCGGCGGCGGCGGGGGUGGGAGAGAAGAUCAGUAAUAACAACAACCGACAACGAAAGGAAACAAAAGGGGGAGAAGGGAGAGAGAAGGAAAAAAAAAACAACGUUACAACUGUCACCGUUUUGCAAGCGUCAGAUUAGCGCUUUGUCAUAACGUGACCACACUGUUUCCGAUAGGUUUUCCAACCCGUAAUCGUUUGUAACGUCUCAGCUAUGAAUCGGGAAAGCAAAAUAAAAAGCAAAAACACUCUGAUGCUUUGGGUUUAAAAUGCUUUCUAGAGUGGGGAAAGUGGAGGUUUCUAUUUUCUUGCGGCAGUGAGAAGCGAAAUAGCCGCGUUUUACCACUUGGAAUAACGCCAUAAUCUUGACGAAGGGAUUCAAACAUUUAAAGAUAACAGAUGCGCUGUAGCCCGACGGAGCGGUGCCCGCCUCGUCACGCUCUUCCCUUUCUCAAGGUCAGCUCUGAGCAAGCGGUAGCUCCGCUCGUACGCGUCGCGCAGCGCACACUGCACCGCGGUGGCAGACACGGAGCUAAUCCAAUCCUUACCUCAAUUUUCAACGUUUUCUUUUGCAUCGAUAAAAUCGAACCGCUUUAGAACCGUAUCCACGGCAACAACGCACAGGCUGAGCUAGCGGCAAGCACCUUGCCUCUCUGCUGCUUUCCUCUUGGAAGGAACGUUCGAAUUAAGCGGUGAUAACGCCAAGGGGCCCACUUCGGGAAAUUCACGGGGUCGGUUCUCAGCAGCAUACCGAAGGGAGAAAGAAAAAAAAAAAAAAAGGAAGGAAAGAAGAACGGAGGACGGAAGGAAGAGAGCCGCCGUUUGGGGCGGCCCUGGCUCCGCUCCUCUCGUCACCGUGACCCCAACCCACCCCUCGGCAAAGCUCCCAGCCGUCAUGCCUCAUCUACACGAAGGCACAGCUCCAGAGCGGGGAAUUCCAUUUCCUAAUUAAAAUCUCGUCAGAAGAACUCAGGGAUCUGCGCUUCUGUACUCCCCGGGCGUGCGAACACCGCAGCAAAAUCAAUGAGGCUGUAUUGCGCGGCUUUGGGCGUACUCUCUGCGCCUACUUCGACUCAAAGGGUCCUUCUGAAGCUGAAAAUUUGCCCUGAGGCGCUGUUAUUUCUCAAAUCUUUCAGGGUGAAAUUAACGUACAGACGUUUCUUUGAUAUGGCGGGGAGGGAAAAUCUCGCGUGUUGUCAGAGGUUAAUUUUCAGCUACUAGAGGAGUUCUUGACUUGAAAUAUUUUACUUUCCUCUGUAAAAGUUACUGGUUUGCUUUCCGUGGUCGUUCGGCGGGCCGAAGCCCCCACGCCAGCAUUCAGCAACGAGCACGGCCCCGUCCAGCAAAAGGUGGUGCGACCCUUCCCGCCCCUUCGUGCCAAACCCUUGCCUUUCUCAUUACCCGUAAAACGUUUACAGCCUCUCGGCCGAAGGCGUUUGUCGGGAGCGCGCCUUUACGAGUAGUGCCGCAGCGGCAUUCCGCCUAACGCCUCCCUUCCUGAUCCUAUUACCGGCCCUGGUUCGCCGCUUACGGGCAGUAAAAGUACCAUUCGGGAAGCGGGCAGAGAGCCGCGCAGGUGCCGGCUGCGUGCAUUAAUAAUAAUUGUCCUGAAUUGUUCUUCAAGGAAAAUAGCGAUUCCUCCCACCCUCCCCCCCGCCGCUCUCCGAGCCCCUCCGUUCCUCACCCCGCAGGAUGGAGGGGAAGGGGAGCAGCGUCCGCUGGAAGAAGCUCUUCGCGUUUCCUUUCUCCUCCGGCUGUGGGACUCGCACGCAGCUCCGCGCCCUUUAGCAAACACCGAGGGGAAGUGGGGGAAAAAAAUGCUAUUGACCGAAACGAGUGUACCUUUGGUGGCCGGGAGCGAUGCUGCUGCUCUCCCUUAUUUCGGGACUGAUGCACCUCGGGGAUCCCGGGCUCCUCCGGUAGCGCUCCUCAGCCACCUACAACGGCACGAAGUUGGGUGUAAGGCACAGCAGCCGGACGCACACACACACGUUUUUGGCUGCUGGGGGAGGCCCGCAACCCACUGAUGCCAGGCAGCUUCCCCCCGCCCCUGGGCGCACUCACCACAUCUCUGCCCCCAGACCGCGGGGAAACCCUCGCCCUCCAACAAUUCCCUUCCUUCCCUUCUCUCUCCUUUUUUCUUUUUCCUUUUUUUUUUUGUUCCCCCUACCUUUCCUGAGGGCUGUACUGCGGCCGGGCUCGUCCUGCCCCCGACGCGCUGCCAAGCAGCCGCCCACCCCCACCCGAG